AUGCUAAUAAUACUGGCAGCACAUAUACUAAAAUUGGAUCGAUAUAGAGAAGAUCAGCGUGGCCCCUGCAAAAGGAUGACACACAAAUUCAUGAAGCAUUCCAUAUUUUU
ensembl:snRNA U6 U6 spliceosomal RNA